CAUACCCUACUACCACCUACUACCAUACACUACUACCACCUACUACCAUACCCUACUACCACCUACUACCAUACCCUACUCCCAUACCCUACUACCACCUACUACCAUACCCUACUACCACCUACUACCAUACCCUACUACCAUACCUACUACCACCUACUACCAUACCCUACUACCACCUACUACCAUACCCUACUACCACCUACUACCAUACCCUACUACCAUACCCUACUACCAUACCCUACUACCAUACCCUAACCCUACUACCACCUACUACCAUACCCUACUACCACCUACUAGCAUACCCUACUACCAUACCCUACUACCACCUACUACCAUACCCUACUACCACCUACUACCAUACCCUACUACCACCUACUACCAUACCCUACUACCAUACCCUACUACCAUACCCUACUACCACCUACUACCACACACUACUACCACCUACUACCACCUACUACCAUACCCUACUACCACCUACUACCAUACCCUACUACCACCUACUACCACCUACUACCAUACCUACUACCAUACCCUACUACCAUACCCUACUACCACCUACUACCAUACCCUACUACCAUACCCUACUACCACCUACUACCAUACCCUACUACCAUACCCUACUACCAUACCCUACUACCACCUACUACCAUACCCUACUACCACCUACUACCAUACCCUACUACCACCUACUACCAUACCCUACUACCACCUACUACCACCUACUACCAUACCCUACUACCACCUACUACCAUACCCUACUACCACCUACUACCAUACCCUACUACCAUACCCUACUACCACCUACUACCACCUACUACCAUACACUACUACCACCUACUACCAUACCCUACUACCAUACCCUACUACCAUACCCUACUACCACCUACUACCAUACCCUACUACCACCUACUACCAUACCCUACUACCACCUACUACCAUACCCUACUACCACCUACUACCAUACCCUACUACCAUACCCUACUACCAUACACUACUACCACCUACUACCAUACCCUACUACCACCUACUACCAUACCCUACUACCACCUACUACCACCUACUACCAUACCCUACUACCACCUACUACCAUACCCUACUACCAUACCCUACUACCACCUACUACCAUACCCUACUACCAUACCCUACUACCAUACCCUACUACCAUACCCUACUACCAUACCCCAUUCAAAGGGGCUUUAAUAUUUUGUCUUACCCAUUCACCCUCUGAAUGGUACACACACACAAUCCAUGUCUCAAAUUUCUCAAAGCUUAAAAAUCCUUCUUUAACCCGUCUCCUCCCCUUCUACUUGCACUGUCAGAUUGAAUUCAUCCAUCUUCUUACGACCCCCCUACAGCCGCCCAAUACACACCCUUCGUGGCUUCAUGGAGAAAGAGGAUGUUUCUGGUUUUCAGGGACAGAGCUUUAUCAAUCUAACUUCCGUUUCCCCUGCCCCAUGUUACGCCUGAUAUGUUAAGCGGGUGUAAAGAUGUCUCGGACCGUUGAGCAUCGCUAAGCAACAGGUGUAGUCAAAC
rnacentral:lncRNA from 1 species